rnacentral:rRNA from 1 species
UCGGUGUGGCACCUUCCUUCCAUCUUACUUAACGGUACAGGAAGCAGCUUGCUGCUUCGCUGACGAGUGGCGGACGGGUGAGUAAUGUCUGGGAAACUGCCUGAUGGAGGGGGAUAACUACUGGAAACGGUAGCUAAUACCGCAUAACGUCACAAGACCAAAGAGGGGGACCUUCGGGCCUCUUGCCAUCGGAUGUGCCCAGAUGGGAUUAGCUAGUAGGUGGGGUAACGGCUCACCUAGGCGACGAUCCCUAGCUGGUCUGAGAGGAUGACCACCCACACUGGAACUGAGACACGGUCCAGACUCCUACGGGAGGCAGCAGUGGGGAAUAUUGCACAAUGGGCGCAAGCCUGAUGCACCCAUGCCGCGUGUAUGAACAACGCCUUCGGGUUGUAAUGUACUUUCAGCGGGGAGGAAUGUGUUGAGGUUAAUAACCUCAGCAAUUGACGUUACCCGCAGAAGAAGCACCGGCUAACUCCGUGCCAGCAGCCGCGGUAAUACGGAGGGUGCAAGCGUUAAUCGGAAUUACUGGGCGUAAAGCGCACGCACGCGGUCUGUCAAGUCGGAUGUGAAAUCCCCGGGCUCAACCUGGGAACUGCAUUCGAACUGUAGGCUAGAGUCUUGUAGAGGGGGGUAGAAUUCCAAGUGUAGCGGUGAAAUGCGUAAAGAUCUGAAGGAAUAGCGGUGGCGAACGCCGCCCCCCUGAACAAAGACUGACGCUCAGAGCGAAAGCGUGCGAAGCAAACAAGAAUACAUACCCUGCAGUCCCACGCCGUAAACGAAGUCGACUUGGAGGUGGUGCCCUUGAAGCGUGGCCUCGGACCUAACGCGUAAAGUCGCACCGCCUGGGGAGUCGGCGCAAGAUAAAACUCAAUGAAUUGACGCGGCCCGCACAAGCGGUGUAGCAUGUGUUUAAUCCAUGCAACAGCGACAUCCUUAGCAUGCCUGCAUCGAAGAUACUUAACAGAAUC